ensembl:lncRNA novel transcript, sense overlapping BRMS1L
AGGCAUUUUGGGAAAGCGUAAAGAAGUGAAGGAUUGGGACAUGAGGCAAAGAUGCCAAGGUUUGCUGCAGUGAGAUGCGGGAAGGCUCUGCCGCACUAAGCUCUCUACAUGGCCGAGGCACCAGACCAGAAUGCGCCCUUUCGACAGGCAGAGAGAGCCAAAGGGGAAAAGAGCUGAGUCAAGGCUGCCAAGUUCCUGCUUCCAGCCCUACCAGCCGGUCACUCGCGCCUUGCAAUGAGGAAACCAGGAGUCCUAUCUAGAGUCUCACUUUCUUGCCUAGGCUGGAGUGCAAUGGCGCGAUCUCGGCUCCUGCAACCUCCGCUUCCCAAGUUCAAGCAAUUCUCCUGCCUCAGCCUCCCAAGUAGCUGAGACUGCAGGCACCUGCCACCACGCCCGGCUAAUUUUUUGUAUUUUUAGUAGAGACGGGGUUUCACCAAUUUGGCCAGGCUGGUCUUGAACUCCUGACCUCAAGUCAUCCACCCACCUUGGCCUCCCAAAGUGCUGGGAUUAUAGGCGUGAGCCACCAUGCCUGGCCCAGUGUUCACUUUGACAGAAUGUGAAAACAUCUCAAAUUGAAGACAUUAUGAAAUAAGCCAGUCACAAGACAACAAAUAUUGUAUUAGUCCCCUUAUAUGAGGGACCUAGAGUAGUCAAAUUUUAUAAAGACAGAAAGUAGAAUGGUGGUUGUCUGGGAGGGAAUAUGGAAUUAUUGUUUAAUGGAUACAGUGUUUUAGUUUGGGAAGAUGAAGUUCUGGAGAUAGAAGGUGGUAAUUGUUGCACAACAAUGUGAAUGUAUUUAAUGCCAUUAAAUUGUUCACUUAAAAAUGGUUAAA